CUUUAGAACACUNGCAAGAUCACAAAGUUUGAGAAGGCUUUCCUGCAGCACAUUCUUAGCCAGCAACAGGACCUGCUGGCUGCAAUCAAGGCUGAUGGCAAGAUCUCAGAGGCAUCAGAUGCUAAACUGAAGCAGAUUGUAUUGAACUUCCUGUCCAGUUUUGAGUAAUGGGUUGCACUUCUUCUGAUCCUCAGUGAGCUACUUGUCUGUGUCCUUCAUAAUGCUUAUACAUGUGAACACACUGAAGGCCAAAACCUCCAUGUACAGAUUUCUCAAAAUAAAAUUUUCCAAACCCCCCUGCUGUGCUGUGUAACUUUGGUUAUGUGUUUGACUGCAGCAGAUUUGAGUUAAGGCAGAC